rnacentral:snoRNA from 8 species
UUGCAAUGAUGUUGAGCAAAUGUCUGACCUGAAAUUAGCAUGUUGACAAGUCUAACUCUGAAGAA